AAACUAUGAUGAAGACACUGUCACAAUAAACUUUUAAAUCUAUCCCAUGCUUCAAAUAUUGGUUCCCCAUCCAUCUGAACAAAGCUUUGGAUGCAAUUUCUCAUGUAC